rnacentral:rRNA from 1 species
UUUAAUUCGAUGCAACGCGAAGAACCUUACCUGGUCUUGACAUCCACGGAAGUUUUCAGAGAUGAGAAUGUGCCUUCGGGAACCGUGAGACAGGUGCUGCAUGGCUGUCGUCAGCUCGUGUUGUGAAAUGUUGGGUUAAGUCCCGCAACGAGCGCAACCCUUAUCCUUUGUUGCCAGCGGUCCGGCCGGGAACUCAAAGGAGACUGCCAGUGAUAAACUGGAGGAAGGUGGGGAUGACGUCAAGUCAUCAUGGCCCUUACGACCAGGGCUACACACGUGCUUCAAUGGCGCAUACAAAGAGAAGCGACCUCGCGAGAGCAAGCGGACCUCAUAAAGUGCGUCGUAGUCCGGAUUGGAGUCUGCAACUCGACUCCAUGAAGUCGGAAUCGCUAGUAAUCGUGGAUCAGAAUGCCA